UUUCACUAGCUUGCGUCACACUUUGUCACUUAUAAUACACUAUUAAAUUUAAAUACUACUGUAAUAAAAAAGAAAGGGAAUCCGACUAGAAAAACAUUUGCAAUGUGAAAAAUUGCUAGGAUUGGCCCAAGGGAAACCUUUAAAAAGCGUGGAAACAAGAAAUUCGGCGAGUGCAUAACUCCAAUCCGUACAGCUAGUGCUGAUAACUUGUAUAAUAAUAAAAAUAGCAUCACAAUAGUGCAGUGACAGAUUAACAAUCUUUCAAUUAUAGGAUCAUUAAUUCUGGUGGUGGCAAAUUGAGCAGUCUUUGGCUAUCACAUCUAGUUUGUUAAUUGUAGGGUAAAUGAUUGUCUAUACACUGACAGUAUACACAUGCAAUGUCACAGUGUGUCCCUUUUAGCUCUUUGUUGAAAAGUAUAGCCCAGUAGCUAGUAGCCCUGAGGCUAUUGUUCUGUUAUGAAAUCAUUAUCAUACUUCAUGCAUCAAUGAUUGUCUGGACUGUCUUUGCUCUUUCUAUUGGGACUAUUGGGACUGUCUUUCUUCUAGAUCUUUGUCUUUAUUUGUCUCUUUACUUGACACUGUCUCUUAGUAUAGCCCAGUAGCUAGUAGCCCUGAGGCUAUUGUUCUGUCAAGAAAAUUCAUUAUCAUACUUCAUGCAUCAAUGAAUGGUCUGGACUGUCUUUGCUCGUUCUAUUGGGACUGCAUGUCUUGCAUGUCUUUCAUCUAGAUCUUUGUCUUUACUUGGCACUGUCUUUGCUCAAAACUGUAAAGGGGGUAUAACAAAACUAAAACACAUACUUUAAACAAUAGUCCCCCAGUACCAUGCUUUGGUGUGAUGGACGCCAGCAUCAUCACCUGGGGAUGUACCAGCUGGUGAUGUGUCUAAAUCAAAGAGAAGUAAGAAAACAAAGUCAACAAAGUCAUUUGCAAGCGAAGAAAAACAGGAAAGAGUUGAAACUUUGAAGGUUCGAGGCAAACAUGGAACUGCACAUACUCCUAUACAGUAGUACACUCUUUGGGCAGAAAUGAUAGAUGUGAUAGAUGUGGGUACUCAUAGCAGCAUCGACGAACCACCCUCUGUGCCUAUGUUUCAAGGAAAAGCUAGACAGUCUAAGGCUAAAGCAGGUGACAAUGAAAUGGCAACAGUUUUUACUGAAAUGGCGAAAUCAUGUAUUGGCACCUACUACCAAAACGUCUUCUAGCACUAGUACUGGCGUUAUGUCCCCUGGAAAGGUUGCAGAGUUAUGUUCAAAAUAUUUACAGCAAUUACAUCAGCUGUUUGAGCUCUUUCUCUAGAGUUUUUUGAUCAGAAAUCACCGAUUUUGGAUCAGCUCCGUUUAAUUGACUCAAACAAUGAUAAUUUUGGCAGAGAAAGUGAAUAAUAAUGUUUGUCAAAAUUUAACAUUUGUGAUUCUACAUAAUGUAACCAGCGUGUUUGAUGGACAAUUAUGAAGUGAAAUUGUGCUAAACGCAUGGGUUAUCAAUACUCUAGGAAUUCGUAAUUAUCAAUCAGUUUUUGCUUAGUUUCGGCAAAGACUUCCUCGAGUGGCAUUAAAUCAGGAGAAUAAGGGGAUAAGAACUUGACUAAUGCUCCAACACUAUUGAUUAUAUAUAUUUUGUACUGUAUUGAAGCGUUGUCUAAGAUUACAACAGAAUGAGCAUUGAGGCCAUUAAAUGGCAUUAACAAUGGAAGGACUGUUUGUCUGAUGAAAUCAAUAAAAACAUCUCCAUUAACACCUGCUUCAUAUAUGUAGACAUCUAGUAUACCAGUCAUUGACAUAACUGGUAUUGCCGAAUGCCGAAUACCUUUUACCUCCAACCCUUAGUGCAAAGUUAUGUGCUGGUGUUCCUCUUAUACUGUACCCAUACUUUCUCCGUUUCAUCAAUCCAUAGCAGCAUUUCUGGUUGGAAAGCUGAUAUCUCAGCCAUAUAUAUAGCUCUCUUUGCUUCACUUUGUUGAAGAGCAAUAUAAUGUCUAGAAAAACCGAGUCUUUUGAGAGUCCUGCAAAUAGUCGAAUAGUGGACAUAAGUUCCAGUAGUGUUUGCUACCACAUCUCGAAGUUCAUGAAGAUAAAUACCAGGAUUUUGAUAUAUUUGUUUGUUUGGAUAAGGGUCAUCUCUUCAAAUUCAUUUAGUUCUAGAAUGUUAGCUGCAUCAAAAGCGCUCAUAUGGUGAUGCAGGCAGAGCCACACCAUUCUCCAACGGAGAUCAGUUGAGUAGGGUUGUGGCAUCAGUCACACAGACUCGAUCACUGUAGCUAGCUUCACAGAAAGUAUAUGUAGUGACUAGGUAUCUAUUGCUAGUGCUAGCUACAAAUAGAGUGCACUUGCUCAAUCCACCCACAAUUCAAUUAGGUACUAUUUGUGGUUUGGCUAUUCAGUUAUUGAGUUGGACAACGGAUGUGCAAACCACGGUACAGCAGUUACUCUGUCAGGAUCUCCUGGUUUCCAAUGGAACAGCCACAGCGAAGGAUUAGCAUUCGCCUCGGGCAAAGAAAGAUGCAACUAACUAACUUACUGCCUAGCAUUCUCUGUCGGGAUCUCCUGGUUUGGAACGGACAAGCCAAUGCCACAGCACUUCAUAGGCAAAACCAUGCUGUGUCCUUCCUUUUGUUUUUGGCAACUGGUGAUGAAGAGGGAAGUGAGCUAUUCCUAGCGAUUUCAAGGGUGUCUUGGUCUGUUUGAGCCAACUCGUGACGGAAUGAGCGUUGGGCAUCUGUAGUACCCUCUGAGCUGAUCCCCUCUGUCGACACCAGCGAUUAUAGUCCUUGACUGUACGUUGUACAGAGGUGACCGAAGUGGCGUCAGAGGCUGUGGAGAUCACACGGACAACCCUAUUGUCCUUCCAAGCUGAGACCGUCACCUUGUCACCUUGUCUUUCUGAAAGCCGCCUAUGCGGUCAGCGCGAGCUGUACCACAAGCAUAAAUGCCAUCCUUCUCCAAGUCUUCCAACAGUUUGACAGACGUGAAAAAGUUGUCGAAAUAGACGUGGUGGUGCUUGUGCUUCAACGAGGCUGUGAGGCAACUCGUGCUUCUCUGGUGUGGCUUCUCUCCCUGUAUACACUUGUAGCAUGUGGAAGUACCCAUUGGAGCUGUCUCUUCACUGGUUUAUUCACUGGUUUAUUUGGGAGGUACUGUUUGAGUGCAGAUCUACCCUGAAACUUUAUCAUUGCCUCGUCUACUGCAACUUCACGGCCUAAGUUGUAUGCAGCAGAACAGCGCUUAUUGAAGGGGCGUACUUUGGCCAAACGAUCGCUACCUGGGGUGCCUGGAGUCGGGAGAGUGGUGUUGUCCGUGAAAUGGAGGUAUCGUCGGAUGUCCCUAAAGUGAUCGCGUGAGAUCUUCGAUGCAAUUGGUGAGUAGUGGAAUUGCACGUCUCUCCUCCAAUAAUUUUCAAUUGAUGGGAGUUUCACGAUCCCCAUGAAAAUGCAGAAUCCCUUUAGCUCAGCAGUCGUGAGUGGGGUCCUUUUAUCAUGUGGCCUAGCGUAUCGAUUUGUCUCGGCUACCAUUAUUUCAGUGGGAGAACUUGAGAUGGAUACAGCUGGGCCUCUCGUGAAUGGUCAUGAAAGGGGGAACUGGGGAACUGUUUCAGGUGUGUGUGUGUGUGUGUGCGUUGUGUGGUGUGUGUGUGUGUGAUGUGUGUGUGAAUUAAGCUUUGCUGUACUGUUUUUUUCUAGUCUUCUAGAGUACUGUUGUCAGAUUGUAUGAUAACGGCAAAUUUACAAUUGUUUUGUAGUAACCGUUAUUAUAAUGUUGUGCAACUACAUGUACAUUAUUACCUCUUACUUGUGUAAAGUUAUAAUUAAGUGUAGGGUCAUGUUUUAGGCAUUCCAAAGGUACUUUUUGGCUACUUUUUGGCUUCUGUGAGAUUAAUUCUGACAAUGCAUUGUCUGUUCCCAAUGCCAAUGUGUUAGGCCUAGCCUGCAAUGCUUUAGUAUUAUUACCUAGGGAAAGUCUGUCCUGGUACAGAUUCUCUCUAUUAUUGUCAUGCACAUUCAGAAGUUGUGUGUUAUUAUGGUGCAACUAUAACCUUUUUGUAGGGUCAAAGGUCACUUCAAUUGUGGUUGUACUUUUAAGAUAAUUGUUUUUACUUGCAAUGUAAUGUGUAGUAGGCACCCUCCAAUUCUUUGUGCUUUUUUGUUCCCAAUGUAUUCCCAGUGAUAAUGCUUUUUUGUUCCCAAUGUGUUCCCAGUGCACUCCUAAGGAUCAAUUUGAUCCUAAUCACUAUACCUGUUACAAUUCAAUUCUGUUUGGCUUUUCUCUGCACUUCUUUGUACAGUUCCCAAUGAUAGCUUGUUGACUUGUACAGGUACCCCAAGGUCACACACACAUCAAAUAUAUAGUACAGUACAUGUGUAAUACUGUAACUAUUUACUUACCCUGUAGAAGUAGUAAUAGCUCUAGCUCUGCCUCUUCCCCUCCUGCCUCUGUGCAAAUUAAUAUUUAUAUAGUGUACAAUCUAAUACCUUCUCGUUGCACCUACACCCUUGCUCUGCCUCUGCCUCUGUAAAUGUUACUACAUUAUAAUUUAACUAUAGUCGUGUACUUUGUGUCACCUUUUUGUCCCAAAGCUGUUGGAGGAAGUGGGGGUAGUGGGGGUUCAAAAUCUGGUGAAAAGCAGAGGGUGAUGUCUGGGGGUGAGAGGCUGGAUGUGAGCAGUUGAUGUCUGGUGGUGAGAGGGGAUGUGAGAGAACUAGGGGUCCAUGAAAUCGCCCAUCGCUGCCAUAGGGUCAUCACAGUCCUCUAAGUCUAAGGACCAUGGUCACUGCUAUCCAGGAGAUCCUCCAGUACCUCCUCUCUAGUAUACAAGAGCCUCUUAGUCAUUGUUGUCCUGUAGAAUUAGAAUUAAUUUUUAUUGUGUUUGUUGAUCUUCACUUGUGUUGUAUCUUCACUUUGAAUUUUAA